rnacentral:rRNA from 1 species
GACGAACGCUGGCGGCGUGCUUAACACAUGCAAGUCGAACGGUAAGGCCCUUCGGGGUACACGAGUGGCGAACGGGUGAGUAACACGUGGGUGAUCUGCCCUGCACUUCGGGAUAAGCCUGGGAAACUGGGUCUAAUACCGGAUAGGACCACUGCCUGCAUGGGUGGUGGUGGAAAGCUUUUGCGGUGUGGGAUGGGCCCGCGGCCUAUCAGCUUGUUGGUGGGGUGAUGGCCUACCAAGGCGACGACGGGUAGCCGGCCUGGGAGGGUGACCGGCCACACUGUGACUGAGAUACGGCCCAGACUCCUACGGGAGGCAGCAGUGGGGAAUAUUGCACAAUGGUCGCAAGCCUGAUGCAGCGACGCCGCGUGAGGGAUGACGGCCUUCGGGUUGUAAACCUCUUUCAGCACCGACGAAGCGCAAGUGACGGUAGGUGCAGAAGAAGGACCGGCCAACUACGUGCCAGCAGCCGCCGUAA